rnacentral:rRNA from 1 species
AUUGAACGCUGGCGGCAGGCCUAACACAUGCAAGUCGAGCGAGCGGCGGACGGGGGAGUAAUGUCUGGGAAACUGCCGGAUGGAGGGGGAUAACUACUGGAGACGGUAGCUAAUACCGCAUACCAUCAGAUGUGCCCAGAUGGGAUGAGCUGGGAGGUGGGGUAACGGCUCACAUAGGCGACGAUCCCUAGCUGGUCUGAGAGGAUGAUCAGCAACUCUGGAACUGAGACACGCUCCAGACUCCUACGGGAGGAAGCAGUGGGGAAUAUUGCACAAUGGGCGCAAGCCUGAUGCAGCAAUGCCGCGGGGUUGAAGAAGGCCUUCGGUUUUUAAAGCACUUUCAGCGGGGAGGCGUUACCCGCAGAAGAAGCACCGGCUAACUCCGUGCCAGCAGCCGCGGUAAUUC